GUGGGGAACCUCUGUCCUGGUUCUUUUGUUCUAGAUUCCACUUGGUUAUACAUGAACCCUAGCAACAAAAUGGUUAUUCUUCCUCCUUGUAAAAUGAGGGGGUUGAUCCAGGUGGCCAUUAAAGUCCUUCCAGCUCUAGAUCUAGGUAUGCUACGCUUGGAUGCCAGUGAUGGUUUAUGUCUGCUCAGCUCCUCUCCUCUGCCCUCUCUACCUCGACCAAGAAGAUAAACCGAUUCAUGUGAGCAGUUGUGAAAUCCUGCCAAGCUUGGCAGACAUCAAAUAAACCUAACUUUGAAUAAGACUUUUGGAAUGGGAAUUCCUAUCUUGACUCUGACUCCCGGACUCAUCCUGCUGACUUCAGGUGGUUUUCUGGUCCUCAGCUGAUGAUGUUGCGCUUCUCUUUUCCUGCCAAUUUACUUUCUUCUGAGAUAUCCUUGUGCCCCACUACCCCAAAUUAAAGGCAGAAGAAGAUGGACCUGUCUGUUGUGGCUCCUCUGCCUUCCAUGCGGUCCAUGGAGAAAUUGCUGAAAAAUUGCCCAUCUGGCCUCAU